UGUGGCAGAACCUCCUGAAUUAAUUGGCCCACAUGCACCCAUCAUUGUCUCAAAGACUUCUGAUCGGCGUGCACGAGUUCCAAAUGACUCAAGAAGUCUGUCGGGUGCCCUCGGAGGACCCCGAAUCAUCCACAUUUUAACUCAUACAGGAUCAACAUGGAGUUACCACAACAUUACAACAUUUGUUACAAAAAUAACUUACAUCAGAGUGCGGAAGAUUUAUAACUUAAUUUACAACAUAUGAUGAAGUACAAACUUAACUAAAUUUCCAAAAGGUGUGUAGAGUAGCUGAAGCAUCCUAGGUGAAGCUUCUAAGGUAGAAGAGGUGGAUAAAUCAUGUCGCGCCCACCGACAUGACCUCCAUUAGCAGUCUAAGUCAGCACCUGCAACAGGGGUUAUAAAACCCUGAGUACAAAAGUACUCAACAAGACUUAACCGACUAGAAAAGAGGUGAAGACUCAGGUAUGCAGGCUAUAGGGAUUCAAGGUAAAGCUUUAUCAAGAUCAAGCAUUUCUUUUGCAUAAAAGCUUACUAAGAGUAAAACCUACUUUCAAGUUUUAACUCAAGAUCAUCAUUUAUGACUAACCAAAAUUAUUAUCAAACUUUCAUAAGCAAACCACCUCUUUCUUAUACCAAAGUUCAUUUAUUUCUACGAUGAUGGGGUGAGGAUUGAGGCUCCAUAUCCGAGGAAACACGGCGAUUCGAAUCGAUUAAACCCAGCUGGGGAUUCAGUACCACACGACAUAUGUAGAACUUAAUCUUGCAUAUGUCAACCUGUUUCUAUAGAUCCUCCCAUACAAGAACGGGUCCAGCAUCACCCGAGAGUACAGUACACCACCAUCCUACAGCCAAUCUAGAUGUUUCCCGGUCAUCUCAGAUCCGUAAGGUGGGUACACGCUACUCUCGCCAUCUCUCCACUCCCAGUACGCGGUUAGCCGUUCUCAAGUAUCAGAAUAGCUAUAGGUAAGGCUUACCAUCGCAUGUGGGCUGUACUCAAAGGUCUCAAAAACAGCAGGCCAUCAACGGAACGGUCCUUAAUCGACACAGUUGGAGACACAACUUUAAGACUCCAUUCUUAAAGCAAGUCCACCGACCGGUCUCAAGUUUAAACAUUAUUAACCAUAAAAGUAUUCCACAACAACCCUUCAAACUUUCUCAUUUGAAAACCUAUCUAAUAAGCAGGGCUAAGCAUACUAAGUAUUUUCAUAAAACAAGUAUCAAGGUUAAUAUUGAAAUCAUCAAGGUAGGUAAUGCAGCAAAUAGGAUUCACUCAACUCCUAUUCACCUAAUGCAUCAUAUUAACUCAAGUGAUAUAAAUAACUUUAUGAAAAUACAAGGGUAGGGUUUAAUGUCCGGGGCUUGCCUUGGCCGGAAGGGAAGUCCGACAACUCAGCAAAACCAGAUGGAUCCACAAACUCGGAAGCAAUCCACUGAGGAUUAGAUUCCUCCGGAGCGUAGUCUACACGUAGAGGUGCAUAUGCAUGAUCAAUGAGAUGUUCAUGACAUGAUAAAGACAGGUUACAAGUUCUUGGAUGAUAACAACAAACAUAACUACCUCGAGUACAACUUACCUUCAUGGUAUAGAAACAAACUAACUUAGUUAUCAAAACAUAGAUUACUACUAAGCAAAUUUUAUCAUCUUCAUUAAGCAAGGUUGUGUAGAUCUCAUGCCAAGUAACCACUAGUUGUCAAUCAAUCCCAAAGACCAAUCAAAACCUAAAAUGAUUAGGUUUUCUAUUUAUCUUAAUCAAUUCUUAAUUAAAUAUUAAUGGUAGUAAUUAAGUAUUAACAUCAAACAAUAAUUAAGUGCCAAAGGUCAUUAAUGUUAAUGACCUUAGGUCAUCACACAAUCCCAAAAGCACUCAAAUUCUAAUUUGGAAAUCAAGCAACUCAUUAUUUAAGUAAAGGCUAGCUAAAAACAAACAACUUUAUUUGCACACAUAACCAGGACAGCAGCAUAUACACAACUUCAUUCAACCAUAAUUAGAGAUCCAAACAUCCAAUAAAGGUGAUAUUAGACUUUCUGGAAAUCUUAGAUAAUUUUCUACAACUUUGUUAUAGACAAGUUUCACAUCCAUCAUUAUCUACCUAGAGCAAUUCAUAAGGUUCCAGAAACUGUCCAGAAAUUACUAAUAAUUUAAUUAUAGACAAAUAACAUUUCAUUUAUGUUUCAAACUUGGACCUGGGCAAAACCCAGCUCACUAAUAGUUGAAAUACAUCAAAGAGAUACUAGAAAACAUCAUGGUCAUCCCUAAAUAAAUUCCUUUCAUGUUUUUAUUAAUUUAUUUAGGUAAAUAGACAAAGCAAUAACCAUAUAUCAAAAGUACACAGUAAAUUCUGAGAAAACUACAGCAGCUCAUAUAUGCUCUCCAAAGUCUACUGUAUAAGUUUCAUGCCAUUUGGAUAAGUAUAGCAAUUUUUAUGAAAAAGAUAAAUUUCCAUCACAAGGAAGCAUGUAAUGGCAAGAUAAAUAAGAAACUCAACAUUUUAUACAAACACAUAGCCAAAUUAUGUAUCUAUAUGUUAUAACAACCUCAUAUAAAGGCAAAGGAACUGUAUUUUACAUUUAUUCAUUUUUAGUUUAAUUGUGAACUAUUUAAUAAGCACUACACAAGAUAAAUCAAUAACUUAACCAUAUAUCAUCUACUGAACAUGAAAUUUUUACUGCAACACUCACAUAACAUCACGAGAACACCACAAAAAUUUCAGGGAAAUAGGAGCUUUACAGAAUGAGAUAUGAAUUUCUCCUUUUUAAACAUAAUUAAAAGGCAUAAAUCAUAACUAAUUAUUUUACUACAAAACAUGGUCAGUUUCAUAUUUUUAAUAAAAACUAGACAUCCUAAGGAGCACAACAAAAAUUGGUUCACCAAAAUUGGAGUUACCAAACUCCAGAUAUGAAUUUUCAAAGAUUCAACAAAACAUCUACAAACAAGUCCUUAUAGCACUAUUCACCUGAGUCACGAACUUCGCAGUUAGACCCUUGCCUUGUGUCGAAUUCCCAUGCGAAGUCCCUGGCGCGAAUUGAAAACAGAGGACGUCGGAGGAAACUCGAUUUCCGGCCUGUUGAUGUUCGUUGGAGACGAGGGGAAGAGUCGGGGAGCAUCAGGGGCUCAGCACGACUUCUUCAAGCUUCUCAGAAGUGGUGGAGAAGCACGGAGGAGGGCUGGCCACGUGAAGCGCCCACGGCAGCGCUUUCGGCCGGAGUUGAGGAAGAAAGACGGCUCCCGGGCGAUUGAGAGGGGCGGGGAGGCUUCCUGGGCGUACACUGGGUUCGCAAGGAUAUGGCGAAGGUGUUGGAGAACUCGAAUUGGUCGGAGGAGUUGCGUGUAGAGGGUAAUGGAUGGUGGAGCUUCUCUGAUGCUUUUGGUCGCCGGAGCGACUGAGCUCGAGGUCGGCCGCGCGGACGCUCAAGGGGGCGAGGCGCAGGGGUCGCGGGCGUCCACGUCGCACGGUGACGCGGCCGGCAAGCAGCUGCGUGGCGGCGAGGCGCGCACGUGGAGCUGCAC
rnacentral:lncRNA from 1 species